UUGGAGGGCAAGUCUGGUGCCAGCAGCCGCGGUAAUUCCAGCUCCAAUAGCGUAUAUUAAAGUUGUUGCAGUUAAAAAGCUCGUAGUUGAAUUUCGGGAUCAAUUUAUCGGUCGUGCCUCUGGUAUGCACUGGUAUUAUUGAUUUCUACCUUCUGACGAACCAUGAUGUCAUUUAUUUGGUGUCAUGGGGAAUCAGGACUGUUACUUUGAAAAAAUUAGAGUAUUUAAAGCAAGCACACGCUUGAAUACAUUAGCAUGGAAUAAUGAAAUAGGACGUUUGACCCUAUUUUGUUGGUUUCUAGGAUCGACGUAAUGAUUAAUAGGGAUAGUUGGGGGCGUUAGUAUUCAAUUGUCAGAGGUGAAAUUCUUGGAUUUAUUGAAGACUAACUACUGCGAAAGCAUUUGCCAAGGAUGUUUUCAUUAAUCAAGAACGAAAGUUAGGGGAUCGAAGACGAUCAGAUACCGUCGUAGUCUUAACCAUAAACUAUGCCGACUAGGGAUCGGAUGAUGUUAAUUUUUUAAUGACUCAUUCGGCGCCUUACGGGAAAC
rnacentral:rRNA from 1 species